rnacentral:rRNA from 1 species
GACGAACGCUGGCGGCGUGCUUAACACAUGCAAGUCGAACGGUAAGGCCCUUCGGGGUACACGAGUGGCGAACGGGUGAGUAACACGUGGGUGAUCUGCCCUGCACUUCGGGAUAAGCCUGGGAAACUGGGUCUAAUACCGGAUAGGACCACGGACUUCACGGUUUGUGGUGGAAAGCUUUUGCGGUGUGGGAUGGGCCCGCGGCCUAUCAGCUUGUUGGUGGGGUAAUGGCCUACCAAGGCGACGACGGGUAGCCGGCCUGAGAGGGUGUCCGGCCACACUGGGACUGAGAUACGGCCCAGACUCCUACGGGAGGCAGCAGUGGGGAAUAUUGCACAAUGGGCGCAAGCCUGAUGCAGCGACGCCGCGUGGGGGAUGACGGCCUUCGGGUUGUAAACCUCUUUCAGUAGGGACGAAGCGCAAGUGACGGUACCUACAGAAGAAGCACCGGCCAACUACGUGCCAGCAGCCGCAGUAA